rnacentral:lncRNA from 1 species
AGAAGAGGAGGAAGACAAUAUACACAUCUCAGCAGUCACAGUAGAAACCAACAGGUUUGUAAAGCCGAACUUCCACACUUGACACAUAGACUAGCAUAGUCUGAAGGCCAUAGUCCCAACCAACUGACACCUUUUAAAUGUUGUUAUAGGCUGCGUGUUGUUGUUCUACCUGCUUUUAUAAAGUUUUAUUGGCACAGCCGUGCCCAGUUUGCCUCCUCUGUCUUAGACUAUCAUUCUGAGGAGCAGAUUUAGUAAAGCCUGUCCUAGGACAUGGUUGUGGGCCCUAUCUCUCCGGCAAUAUAUUUAAUAAAGGACCGACAGUCUGUGUAUGUUUAUAAACAUAAAAGUCCCAGAAGAAAAACAAACAUGGAUCUCAUAAUUGAAAAUGAAGUCAAUUAAGACAGCUCAAGCAGGUACUCAUCCAGAGUUCCAUCUUAGACAAAUAGGUACCUUAGGUACUUGGCAUAUUGACACGACAUCUUGAUUAGAGAUGUUAGCGUUGGUCUAAAACAUGAAAAUAUUAGUUGAUGGUGAAAUAAAAUGCAUAGGAUAUUAUUUGGAGUUUGGUGUAAUAACAGAAUGUAAGGAUGAAUAGAAACCAAGAAGCAAAUCUCGCCCUUUCUGAGGCUGAGCAAAUUGAUGACCAGCUUCCCUUAGCAGCCAGCAGCACACAACCUGAACUUGUCAAUGUGUUUCUUCCUACUUGGGCAGUUCCCAUGUCUGUCGAUCACAAAAGAAGUAGACAACAGUAACCUUCACUCCCAUCCCAUCUCCCUCCUUUCCGAGUCUCCAGUGUCUAUUAACCCAUGCUGUAUAUCCAUGUGUACACAUUAUUUAGCUCCCACUUGGAAGUGAGAACAUGCGGUAUUUGACUUUGUUUCUGAGUUAUUUCUUAAGACAAUGGCUUCCAGUAUCAUCCAUAUUGCUGCAGAAGACAUGAUUGCAUUCUUUUCCAGGUCUGAGUAGUAAUCCAUGGUGUGUAUGAACCACAUUUUCUUUAUUCAAUCAUCCAUUGACAGACACUUAGUAGUGGGACUGCUUGAUGGAAUGGUAGUUCUAUUUUUAACAUGUCCUGCUGUUUCAUCUUAAUGUGCUCUGACUGAUGAAUGUUCAGCUAUAUUGACUGUAUCCUGUUUAAUCAAAGAAAAUACGAAUCUGCUAUAAAGUCUAAGUGUGUAAGAUGGCUGAAGAUCAGCCUGCAGGAGCCGUGGGAGUUCAAGAGGGUCCCAUGCAGCAUGAGAGGACAGAGACUCAGUAAAGAUUUGGAGCAGAAGAAACAUCUGCUGAGGACAGGGCUCACUAGGGAGAAGAACGUUGGCUUGGUGAGAGCCUCUGGGAAACCCUGCUGUCAGAUCAGUCUGGGGAACAUUUUCUGCCGAUAGCCAAACAAAAAAAUAGGAGCGGAACUUUACAGUGUGUCAGAAAACACAUAAAAAUUUUUAACAAAAAAGUCAAAAUGUUUGUUUGAUAAAUGUAUUCAAAGACAGUUUUUGCUAAGGAUAUGUUAAAGCUGACAUUCAUCAUCAUGUCACAGGAACUUUUAUUUGUAAUAGAACAUGAUACAGUUAUGUGGACAUUCAAAGCAAAAUUGACAAAAAUAUAGGCCUGUGUGUCUUGUUUCCAGAGCGUCUCUUGAACAUCUUCCAAAUACUUAAUUCUAGUGUCAGUGUCGUUAACUGUGAUGAAGAAAAAACAAUUAUCCUGGACAAUGUCAAUGGCUCACGUGGUGUCCAAGUUUAAGAACGUUUAGCACCAAAGGAAAAUUAUUUCAAACAGAGUUGGGUGUUUGAGUUAAAAAAAAAAAAAAGUCCCAA